CGGAUUUAUAAGUCAGUGGUGAAAGCCUACAGCUUAACUGUAGAACUGCCAUUGAUACUGUAAGUCUUGAAUUCGGUCGAAGUGGGCGGAAUGUGUAGUGUAGCGGUGAAAUGCAUAGAUAUUACACAGAACACCGAUAGCGAAGGCAGCCCACUAGGCCUGGAUUGACGCUCAGGGACGAAAGCGUGGGGAUCAAACAGGAUUAGAUACCCUGGUAGUCCACGCUGUAAACGAUGAUUACUCGUUUUCGGCGAUAUACAGUCGGAGACUAAGCGAAAGUGAUAAGUAAUCCACCUGGGGAGUACGAUCGCAAGGUUGAAACUCAAAGGAAUUGACGGGGGCCCGCACAAGCGGUGGAGCAUGUGGUUUAAUUCGAUGAUACGCGAGGAACCUUACCAGGGCUUAAAUGUAGAUUGACCGUUUUGGAAACAGAACUUUCGCAAGACAAUUUACAAGGUGCUGCAUGGUUGUCGUCAGCUCGUGCCGUGAGGUGUCAGGUUAAGUCCUAUUACGAGCGCAACCCCUGUUGUUAGUUGCCAGCGAGUCAAGUCGGGAACUCUAACAAGACUGCCAGUGCAAACUGUGAGGAAGGUGGGGAUGACGUCAAAUCAUCACGGCCCUUACGCCUUGGGCUACACACGUGCUACAAUGGACGGUACAGAGAGCAGCCACUUCGCAAGGAGGAGCGAAUCUACAAAACCGUUCUCAGUUCGGAUCGGAGUCUGCAACUCGACUCCGUGAAGC
rnacentral:rRNA from 1 species